rfam:Naegleria gruberi genomic scaffold NAEGRscaffold_62, whole genome shotgun sequence.
GGGCCAGUAGUCUAGUGGUAUGAUGCGUGCUUAGGGUGCACGAGGUCCGGGGUUCAAUUCUCCGCUGGCCCC